UUUCCAUAAUUUUGGUUCUCUUUAGAACCUUCCCCCUCCCUAUCUGCUCCAAUGGAUUACACUCACCUUCUCCGACCACCUCCUGGCCUAGAUCUAUGGUGGUUUCACCACCCACCAACCUUCUAUGCUCUUCCACGCUUGGUUAGUGAAGUCUCAUGACCAGACCACGAAAGAACAGGGUCCAGAUCUUUGUGUGUUUCAAGUUCGAGCGCCAUCGCCGGCAAGCCAUGUCUUCUCGAGCCUGGCCUCGACUCUUCCUAUUUAGAUCAACAACGAUCCAAGUCUUUC
rnacentral:lncRNA from 1 species